rnacentral:rRNA from 1 species
UGUGGCGAUCAUACCAGCACUAAUGCACCGGAUCCCAUCAGAACUCCGCAGUUAAGCGUGCUUGGGCGAGAGUAGUACUAGGAUGGGUGACCCCCUGGGAAGUCCUCGUGUUGCAACCC